CCGGAAACAAAGUGCAGCGAAACCGUGAGGCGGAGCGAAUCACAAAACCCGGUCUCAGUUCAGAUUGCAGGCUGCAACUCGCCUGCAUGAAGUUGGAAUUGCUAGUAAUCGCGAAUCAGAAUGUCGCGGUGAAUACGUUCCCGGGCCUUGUACACACCGCCCGUCACACCAUGAGAGCCGGUAAUACCCGAAGUCCGUAGCCUAACCGCAAGGAGGGCGCGGCCGAAGGUAGGACUGGUAAUUAGGGUGAAGUCGUAACAAGGUAAC
rnacentral:rRNA from 1 species